GGAGAUUUGUCGCCGGGCAACUAAUCUCCCUGAAUCUGACCAAGUGUCUCUGCCUUUAGGGUCAGCUUCUUAUAUAGCCAUUAUAUUCUUUACUUUACCACUUUUGUUGUGGUGGUGUAGCCUACGGAGGUUGGUUGUUUUCCAUAAAUGUGCAGAUUUAGUGUUCUAAAAGUACCUUCCCCCCCCCUAAAAAAAAAGCGAAGAAAAAACAGCACUGCCGAUGACAUGAGUACGGAUGAAACAAAAGGUCCAAAGAAGCUCCACUAAACUGAUAUAGGUCAAACCGCAUUUCUACGGAGAACUACGCCCACAGAUCUGCAUGUUGGAAGCAAGGAAGGCGCCACUGAGUAACUGCAGGCUAAACUGCAAGCUACUACGGGGUGUUGCGACCACAAUUCUCCACGUACG